AAACUGCAUGUUUUAUGUCAUGGGCAAGUAUAUACAAUAAACUAAGAUAAUAAAUUGGGAUAAAUAUUACCGUUGGUAACCUUCUCCAAGACCAAUUGGAGCUCAGAAAAACGGAGCAACUUAUAAAACUGCAGGUAUCCCACCAAAGCCAACGAUUGGGAAUCAAUAGUGGGGAGAUCUGAUCCGUGCUGAUUGACACUCAAUAUUCUAACGUUUGGUGUACUGCACGGUAAAGGCUAGUUUCAUAAAGUUGUGGAAUGAGAAGUACAAAGAAAUGUGUUUUUCAAUAAGUAAAAAUCUACAUGUACUUGGAAAACUCUGCCUCCAUUCUUGCUAUGCAGCUUUUUCCUACAUGCAUGAAAUAUAAUCACUUAUGUUCAAACUAUGAAUAUUAAAAGGCAAAAAAACAAAAAAAAGAUAUCAGAUUGACGACAGGAGAAAGAGAAGAUAGGUGCGGAAUUGGGAUAUAACAGGAGCGAUUGUUAAAAUUUGGAAAUGGAACUUUAAGUAAAGUGGAGUAUUUAACCACCGAAGCUAAACUAAGCCCAGCAAUUCUGCACUAGCAUGUUCUUCACGUCGUCUUUUAUUCAGUUCAACUUCCCCAGACUUAAUCAGUGGAUAAUAUAUUCGUUUUUCAUUUCACACACACCGGCACACAUACUUUUUUUUAAUUUUCACAUGCAUGUGUAUGUAUAUGAUUUCCACUUUCAAGCAUUUUGUAAUGUAGUUUCCAAUCACUAUGUGCAUCUAUAAGUUGGUAUUUUAAAUGAUUUCCCCCAAUUUAUGGAAGCUGCCUAUGAAUAUACUGAGUAUCUGUUUAAGUGAAACUCAAUCCAUUUUGUCAUAAAAGUAUGCAAGCAACAAAAUUUAAUAAAUACUUUAAGUCACAAAAGAGACAGAGUCAGUCGAUAAGCAUCUCCUCUUAGAUAAAAAAGAGUUUUGUCACGAAAGUCAGUUGAUUACUGCAUCAUGAUAAGAAAUAGAGCUCUUCCCGCGAGAUAAGGAGAUUCAGAAACACAAAUACUCAGGGAAGGUGACUUACGACCGACGGCGACCGGCAGUUGCGUGGCAGCGGGGCAGGACCAGUGGGGAUCCAAAGGCGCAAGUUUGUAGGGAUUAGGGUAUCUAGCCAAAAGUUAUGCGAGCCAGUUUUUUA
rnacentral:lncRNA from 1 species